GUGACCAUGUUCCUGUCCUCUUUAUGCAGACAGGAGUAUUYGCCUGAAUUUGCAUGAAGAUCCCMAAAUACUGCAAAAAUAAUCUGAUCCUGGACUGAAAAAGGAAGCAGUAAUUCUUGACUAUUAGARAAUUAAAGAGGGAACAGAAACGAGCCUCUCAGGAAAGAGCAGCAAGGAGGAACAAAUUGUCACUGGGCCAGCUGUUACCACUGCACAACUCCUUACCUGCUGUGGUCAUCACCAGUGUGAAACCUUGCAGAGAAUGGCAAAGAGAUUCAACAGAAGUUGCAACUUGGAGAGAUGUGAAGCGAGAGCAGCUUCUGGGUGCUGUUCUUAAAUUUGUUUCCACUCUCUGUUGCUUUGAAGGACAGAACACACAGUGAGCUCUUCUC